rnacentral:rRNA from 1 species
AACGAACGCUGGCGGCAUGCCUAAUACAUGCAAGUCGAACGAGAUCUUCGGAUCUAGUGGCGCACGGGUGCGUAACGCGUGGGAAUCUGCCCUUGGGUUCGGAAUAACGUCGGGAAACUGACGCUAAUACCGGAUGAUGACGUAAGUCCAAAGAUUUAUCGCCCAAGGAUGAGCCCGCGUAGGAUUAGCUAGUUGGUGGGGUAAAGGCCCACCAAGGCGACGAUCCUUAGCUGGUCUGAGAGGAUGAUCAGCCACACUGGGACUGAGACACGGCCCAGACUCCUACGGGAGGCAGCAGUAGGGAAUAUUGGACAAUGGGGGCAACCCUGAUCCAGCAAUGCCGCGUGAGUGAUGAAGGCCUUAGGGUUGUAAAGCUCUUUUACCCGGGAUGAUAAUGACAGUACCGGGAGAAUAAGCCCCGGCUAACUCCGUGCCAGCCGCCGCCGUAA